AGGGAAAAGGGAGGAGAGCUCCGGCUGAGGAGAAGGGGAAGAAGGCGCCCUCAGGCAGCUCGCGCUGGUGGGGUCCUGCGUCUCCCAGAGAAAUGCAUUUCGGUCGACGCCGCCGCCAAGGCACUCUGCACAUGCUCGGGCGACCUUCCUCCACUCGCACAAGCCUUGUCUCAAGGGAGGAAGCGGCUGUUUCUGCUGUCUGUGGGAGGCCGCCCAGCGCCGAUGGACUGGCGAGCGAGAGGCAGCAGGACCACCUCGGACGGGGAGGCAGCCGGCGCCAGGACGGGGACCGCAAAGGCACGCCCGGUCCCUGGACUCGCGGGCCACAGCUACCGUAGGGACCGCUCGCCGCUUCGGAGACGCUCCGAAAGGACUGAAGAGGGCGGCGGGAAGGAUUUUCCUUUUUUCGGACUUGCUGAAGCAGUUUCUUCGUGUGUGCGUGUUUUUAAAUUUUCCCGCUCGUCGGAGAUUGAGGAAUGAUUGCGUUGAUUUCGAAGACAAGCAGCCACAGAAGAGAUCAGCAGGAAACAGUUCCAUCGGCAGCGAGAUCCUGUUCGCUGCCUAGGGCGUUUGGACAAGGCGGCAUAGAGCAAAUCCAACAGGUGCAGUUGGCAGGAUGCUGCUUCUUGGUCUGCCACCUAGUGGAUUGAGAUGGACUUGUAUACCACUGAAUCAAAGCGCUGACCUCACAGUGGCCUUCCUGAAACCUUUGAAGAGUUUUCCUCAGUUAGAACUGCCUAAAACAAUGCAUUCCUGGGGAAAGAGGCCUUUUUGUUUUCCCCGGCAUACAUUUUGUUUGUCCUCCUUAUGAAGUGCAAAGGUAUCCUGCAUUGUGAUUUCAUCUUGAGAAUUCCUCAGAUAAAGGUAAUUUGGAAUUUAAAGUACAUCGUUGAAGUGUGGUUUUCUGUAGUCUGCAAGAUCCAUUUGAAGCUCUCUCUCCUCAUCAUCUGGAAUCAAAGGAGGCAAACCAACAUUAAGUUUUUUGAAACACAAUCCCAAGGAGGAUUCACAGGAGC